rnacentral:snoRNA from 1 species
CCACUCCAAGAUGAAGAGAUGGUCGAGCACAUCCUUAUCGGGUUAGAAGAGGAGUUCCUGCCGCUGGUUUCUACUCUUGUUGCAAGAGUGGAACCAAUCUCACUUGAGGAUCUCUACUCUCAUAUGCUGAACUUUGAGA